rnacentral:rRNA from 1 species
CCUACGGGAGGCAGCAGUGAGGAAUAUUGGUCAAUGGGCGUGAGCCUGAACCAGCCAAGUAGCGUGAAGGAUGAAGGUUCUACGGGUUGUAAACUUCUUUUAUAAAGGAAUAAAGUGAGGCACGUGUGCCUUUUUGUAUGUACUUUAUGAAUAAGGAUCGGCUAACUCCGUGCCAGCAGCCGCGGUAAUACGGAGGAUCCGAGCGUUAUCCGGAUUUAUUGGGUUUAAAGGGAGCGUAGGUGGGCUGUUAAGUCAGUUGUGAAAGUUUGCGGCUCAACCGUAGAAUUGCAGUUGAAACUGGCAGCCUUGAGUAUGUUUGAGGCAGGCGGAAUGCGUGGUGUAGCGGUGAAAUGCUUAGAUAUCACGAAGAACUCCGAUUGCGAAGGCAGCUUACCAAGCUACCACUGACGCUGAUGCACGAAAGUGUGGGUAUCAAACAGGAUUAGAUACCCUUGUAGUC